CUGUGUACAGGAACCAUUACUUGCAUUUUUUGCACUCGACAUCUUCGCUUCCUCUUUCUCCAGCGCUCGAGUUUUAUAUAUUUAUCUCGUUUAAAGUGCAAAAAAUGUUGGGGAUUUCAAGCAACGCGAAGAAUCCUGUAGUAUAUUUCCUUUGGUUUCGUCGAUCGCGUGUAGUAACGCGGAGGAAAAAAUGUAAAUUGUUUUGCGAAUUUUAUUCUUUCUCGCGCGGUUACGGUUCGAUCUCCGCGUAGCACAUGCGUAUUUUCUUUCCCUUUCGUGUUUUCUGUGGCAACGGAAUGUCCAUGCUUAUGUAUCCCUGCAGAAAGAAGUGAACGUCGGCAGCCCCUGUGGCCUAAUGGAUAAGGCAUCGGUCUCCUAAACCGGGGAUUGUGGGUUCGAGUCCCACCAGGGCGUAAUGCUUAAUAAAUCGCGCGGAUGGAUCAGUAACACCCUUCACCCAGCGUGGCAUCCAGAAGUAAGGUGUAAAACUUUCCGCCUGCCCCUUGAAAUGCGACUCGAAGACGUUUCUGGGACAAAAGCAAAGCGAAAACGAUGCAUAAUCCAUCUCGGUCGAAUGACGGUUUCAUUAGUGCACCUUGCUCUCCGAAGAGAUGACUAGCUGCCCGUCAUCCGAAUACAAUCUGAACAACGGUCUUACGCCGUACGGAUCUCUGGCUAUCAGAAUCCUUCUCUUCUGGACGUCCAUCAAACAAAAUGCGAACACACCGUCCAAGGACGACGCGACACCGCUGGCGCCGGCGUAGUUGUACAUGUGCAUGAUCACCUCCACGUCGCACUUGUUAUAUAACUCUCCAUUGCACAAGAGGAAUAAAUGCGGAUACUUGAGUAUUCUCAUCGGCUGCAUUCCGUAGAGGCCGUCGACGAUGGCCAGUCUGUGAAAUCCUAGGUAUCCAUUCUGCAAAAGAAAAAAAAAGAAAA